CUGGUGUGGAGUCAAAUCAAAUAGUUUUAUUUACAGAAUUAUUUCUCUGGGCCAGAAUAAAACAACAGACAGCACAAACACAUCACGAGGAUAUUGAUGUGUUUGUGUUGCUCUCUGACUUACUAUGUUAAAAAACUCCCCAACGCUCCACACAGCUGGUGACCUGGAUCACUGCACUGCAUAGGAGUGCCUAUCGCUCUCAUCUCCAGCCACUGGAUACAAGCUAUCAAUCGCUACGCCAUCAAACUACGCAGGCUGACCCCGGAGAAGCGAGGAUACACCGGGGCCAACCCUCUGCGAUGGAAUUCAGAACAGGUUCUUCCGAUGAAUUCCAACCUCCUAUCUCGGGAGCCCUACUAAAAAUCAAUGAGGGGGGGAUCGAUUUCUCCUACGCGCUCCCCAGGGUAGAGUCAAAGGAGGGGGACAAAGGAGAUAAAACCACAGUUGAAUCGCUAAAGUAACUCCAGUGCACCACGGGUGACUGAUAUUAUUGAGUGUGUGGGGAGUCACAUGCUGCCACCGCUGUGUUGUGAGUGACUUGAAGAAUGGUGCUUAAAUGGCAUCCCCCCCCCCUCCUCCUCAAGAAACGAGGAUUUGAAACGAUUGAAACCCUGUGGCGUCGGCCCCCAAGCGGAAUAUUAGUUAAGUUUGGUUCUAUGGAAUACGAAAAAGAAGAAGAAAAAGAAAAA